rnacentral:lncRNA from 1 species
CACUGAGCCUGUACUUUGUCAAGGCUUUUCUAAGGUUUUGAUCAGUAACCAUGGUCAAAUAUUUAGCCACGGUGUACUGUCGAUUUAGGGCCAGAUAGCACUGCAUUUUGCUUUGUGUUUGUGUUUCCCAAUAAGCAAUGUAGUUUUGUUUUGACUGUGUUGUAAUUUGGUUUAUUCUGAUUGAUUGGAUGUUCUGGUCCUGAGGCUUCAGUGUUUUAGUAGAACAGGUUUGUGAACUCAGCACCAGGACCAGCUGGAUGAGGGUCCUGAGGCUUCAGUGUGUUAGUAGAACAGGUUUGUGAACUCAGCCCCAGGACCAGCUGGAUGAGGGUCCUGAGGCUUCAGUGUGUUAGUAGAACAGGUUAGUGAACUCAGCCCCAGGACCAGCUGGAUGAGGGUCCUGAGGCUUCAGUGUUUUAGUAGAACAGGUUAGUGAACUCAGCCCCAGGACCAGCUGGAUGAGGGUCCUGAGGCUUCAGUGUGUUAGUAGAACAGGUUAGUGAACUCAGCCCCAGGACCAGCUGGAUGAGGGUCCUGAGGCUUCAGUGUGUUAGUAGAACAGGUUAGUGAACUCAGCCCCAGGACCAGCUGGAUGAGGGUCCUGAGGUUUCAGUGUGUUAGUAGAACAGGUCUGUGAACUCAGUCCCAGGACCAGCUGGAUGAGGGUCCUGAGGCUUCAGUGUGUUAGUAGAACAGGUUAGUGAACUCAGCCCCAGGACCAGCUGGAUGAGGGUCCUGAGGCUUCAGUGUUUUAGUAGAACAGGUUUGUGAACUCAGCCCCAGGACCAGCUGGAUGAGGGUCCUGAGGCUUCAGUGUGUUAGUAGAACAGGUUUGUGAACUCAGCCCCAGGACCAGCUGGAUGAGGGGACUCUUUUCUUUGCUCAGCUCUUGGCAUUGCAGGGCUUGGUAAGGAUAUGAGAGGGGGGUCACUGUAUUUUAGAUUUUUCCAAAACUUAAUUGCUCUUUUUUGAGUUUUUAUUAUUAGUGGAUAUUGGCCUAAUUCUGCCCUGCAUUGUUUGUAGUUUUCCUCUGGACACGUAGGAGAAUCUUACAGAACUCUGCAUGCAGGGUUUCAAUGGGGUGUUUGUCCCAUUUGAUGAAAUAUUGUCUCUCUCUCUCUCGCUCUGUCUCUGUCUCUCUCUCUCUCUCUCUCUCUGUCUCUGUCUCUUUGUCUCUCGUUCUCUCUCUCUGUCUCUGUCUGUCUCUCUCUGUCUGUCUCUCUCUCUCUGUCUCUCGCUCUCUCUCUCUGUCUGUCUCUCUCUCUCUCUGUCUCUCGCUCUCUCUGUCUCUCUCUGUCUGUCUCUCUCUCUCUCUCUCUCUCUCUCUCUCUCUCUCUCUCUCUCUCUCUCUCUGUGUGUACUGUAUAUACCAUUACUGGUAAGCCCCAGCCACAUAGUGUGUUCAAAGCCUCUACUUCUUGUUGACUUCCAUAUGAGUACAGGCCUCAGGCUCCUACAAUGCCAAGCUUUGUUUUCAAAAUGGUGGUGUGUGUGUGUUUUCUCUGAUCUUAAUCCAUCCUACUAUGUUCUCAUGUGCUUCUAUGCGUCAGUGGAACUCCAGGCAGAUACACUCUAUGCUGUCUCCUCUCCCUCCCCUACAGUCUCUCCUUCCCUCCCCCUACAGUCUCUCCUUCCCUCCCCCUACAGUCUCUCCACUCCCUCCCCCUACAGUCUCUCCUUCCCUCCCCCUACAGUCUCUCCACUCCCUCCCCCUACAGUCUCUCCUUCCCUCCCCCUACAGUCUCUCCUUCCCUCCCCCUACAGUCUCUCCUUCCCUCCCCCUACAGUCUCUCCUUCCCUCCCCCUACAUCUCUCCUUCCCUCCCCCUACAGUCUCUCCUCCC